GAUGCUGUUAUGAGCGGUAAAACAUAAGGCCAAUUAAUCGAUUGGUUCUUCAAAGAAAUAUACUUUCUUAUGCUUGUGUUGUGAGCUUA
rnacentral:snoRNA from 1 species